CUGUGUUUUCUUUAAAUUGUAAUUUUUAUCAACUAGUAUAAGGUUUUCAUUUUUCUAUUGUAGCUUUUACCACACGCACUCAACACAUGUCUGUAACAACUGUAUAUCAUAUCAAAUAAUAAACAUUAUUCGUCAAAAUGAAUUCAGUGAUUAGUACUUGCCACAUAGAGUGUUUUGGUUAACUAACUGUUUAGCUACCUAACGGUAUAA
rnacentral:lncRNA from 1 species